rnacentral:misc_RNA from 1 species
ACCACAAGUGAUGCGAACAAAGUGGACGGGGCAAGGAGGAGACUAUGACUGGCAUGUGGGUUGUUAGGUGCUGUGAGAUAAAGAGUUCUAUGAAUAAACAGUAUUGGGAAUGAAAUGGUGUUUUGAGGCAGUUUGGUUUGUUCUUGUUUCAGAAAAUUUUAGAGUUACUAGUUGAACCUGAAAAUUUUCAAUCUGUUUCUGUACAUGACUUUU